rnacentral:rRNA from 1 species
GACGAACGCUGGCGGCGUGCUUAACACAUGCAAGUCGAACGGAAAGGCCCUGCGGUGGUGGGGUGCGUGAGUGGCGAACGGGUGAGUAACACGUGAGUAACCUGCCCGUGACUUUGGGAUAACUUCAGGAAACUGGGGCUAAUACCGGAUAGGAGCUGCUGCUGCAUGGUGGUGGUAGGAGAGGUUGGGCGGGUGGGGAUGGAGUCGCUGCUUAUCAUCUUGUUGGUGGGGGAGUGGCUUGCCAAGGCUUGGACGGGGAGCCGGCCUGAGAGGGUGACCGGGAACAUUGGGACUGAGCUACGGCACAGAGCCGUAAGGGAGGCAGCAGAGGGGAAUAUUGCCCAAUGCGGGGAAGCCUGAUGCAGCAAGGCCGCGUGAGGGAUGACGGCCUUCGGGUUGUAAACCGCUUUCGCCUGUAACGAUGCGUGAGUGACGGUAAUGGGUAAAGAAGCACCGGCUAACUCCGUG